rnacentral:rRNA from 1 species
UACGUAGGGGGCUAGCGUUGUCCGGAAUCAUUGGGCGUAAAGAGCGCGUAGGCGGCCAGAUAAGUCCGGCGUGAAAGUCAAAGGCUCAACCUUUGAAUGCCGCUGGAAACUGUCUGGCUAGAGUCCGGGAGGGGCGAGUGGAAUUCCUGGUGUAGCGGUGAAAUGCGCAGAUAUCAGGAGGAACACCGAUGGCGAAGGCAGCUCGCUGGAACGGUACUGACGCUGAGGCGCGAAAGCGUGGGGAGCGAACAGG